ACACAGACGAUGACGAGAGACACACAGUGAAGGUGAACGGAAGAAUAAGGCACGAGGGAUUGUGAACAAACAGAAAGAAAACGGCACAUGCCGAGGGAACUGGAGACCCAGCGAGGCAGCUGAGUCCGGCUCACGAUGAAAAGGAUCCGCUGCGGACUGCAAGCAGGAGCUAUGUGAAUGGAAGAGACUGUAGAUCUGUAGAUAGCGGAGACAGAAGUGCAAGGGAUGGUUGGGCUGCAUGGGCUCUGUUGUUGGCAUCGCUGCUGUCCUACUCUGCUGUUGCUACCCUUCCCCCUGCGCUCUGAACCCCUUCAACACACACAGAUAUGAGCUCCAAACACUCGUCUGACUGGAUCCCUUACAGCACCUUGGAUGAUGAGGGCACGAACCUGCGACAACAGAAGCUGGACAGACAGCGAGCUUUAUUGGAACAGAAGCAGAAAAAGAAACGUC